AGUUAGGAAAUGCAGGUGCGUUAAUAGCGCACUUGCUUGACUAAGGCUCCAGAGGAAGCCACGGCUAACUCUGUGCCAGCAGCCGCGGUAAUACAGAGGCGGCAAGCGUUGUUCGGAAUUAUUGGGCGUAAAGAGCACGUAGGCGGCCUUGCAAGUCAGUUGUGAAAGCCUUCCGCUUAACGGAAGAACGGCAUAUGAUACUACAGGGCUCGAGUACGGGAGGGGAGAGUGGAACUUCUGGU
rnacentral:rRNA from 1 species